AAAAGAAAGAAAGAAAGAAAGAAAGAAAGAAAGCACGAGGGACUCAGAAAAAAGCGGCAUCAAUCAAUCAACCAACGAAUCUUUUUCCAAGGUCCUUGUUUUUCAUUUGCUUCCUU
rnacentral:ribozyme from 1 species